UUUCAGGUUUGCGCGUACUUCAUCUUUACAUAAGUGCAUAUUUUGCAUUAUUUUUUUGCUUUAUAAAUCUCCUUGAGCAAGUCACAAGACACAAGUUGAACAUUUGAAUAGACAAGGGAGACCACAAGAAUCUGUUUUGGAUAGAAAUGUUCGUUUACAACAUGGACGAAUGAUAUUUUACGUGUUGUAUGUUAAAUAGACCUGCGUAAUGUGAGUAUACUGUAUCUCUGUUUAUAUUAUUAAACUUGUAUUUAUUUGUAGUAUUUCUAUGCUAAAACUGCCCAUGCC